AUACGAACCGUGCAAACGUUGUUCGGAAUCACUGGGCUUAAAGGGUGCGUAGGCGGCCGGGUCAGUCGGUUGUGAAAUCCCUCGGCUCAACCGAGGAAUUGCAGCCGAUACUGCUCGGCUCGAGGGAGAUAGGGGCGCGUGGAACUUCGGGUGGAGUGGUGAAAUACGUUGAGAUCCGAAGGAACGCCGGUGGCGAAAGCGACGCGCUAGGUCUCUUCUGACGCUGAGGCACGAAAGCUAGGGUAGCGAACGGGAUUAGAUACCCCAGUAGUCC
rnacentral:rRNA from 1 species